AACGUAGGUUCCGAGCGUUAUCCGGAUUUACUGGGCGUAAAGCGCGUUCAGGCGGUUUGGCAAGUCGGGCAUGAAAUCUCUCGGCUCAACCGGGAGAGGUUGUCCGAUACUGCUGGACUUGAGGGCAGUAGAGGGUGGUGGAAUUCCGGGUGUAGUGGUGAAAUUCGUAGAUAUUAGGAAGAACACCAGUGGCGAAGGCGGCUCACUGGUCCGGUACUGACGCUGAGGUGCGAAAGCGUGGGGAGCAAACAGG
rnacentral:rRNA from 1 species